AGAAUGAUAAAUCUCUCAUGAAACUGGAACAAUAUUUUAAUUAUCAUAAAAAAGCCAAAUUCCUUCUUGUGAAAAGAAUAUGAUGAAAGUAUUCCUUUUCAAAUAAAAUCCAUAACUUUUAUACCUAAAUACUGGAGAUAAUGCAAGAAUGAAAGCAAUCGUUGUCAUGCCUUUGAGAACUGAAUUUUGAAGUUUCUGAUUGAAUUCCUGUUAUUGUAUUGUUAAGGAAGUGGCCUUGUUCACUGAGCUGAAGCAACACUGGAAGAGCUUCCUGUUUAAAGCAGCAGGGAGUGCAGCCCUGAGAACAUCAAUCACACAGUUCAUGAUAUUAACUUGACUGCAGCAUUGCAGGAACAGGGCUCCAGUCAGCUUCAAGGGUCCCCUGCAGUGUUAUAUAUGGCAAAUCCUGCAGUUAGUAUUUCUUCACUGUGACACAAUAACUCUCUAACAGAAAUGGGAAGGGAAGGAACACUAGGGAAUUGAUCAGUGGUUUAGCAUCCUCUCUCUCCCCAGUACCUUUCAAAAAGGUGCAAAAAUUUUUAGAAUUACAUAAUAACCUACACAUAAGUUUCUUUGACAGAACAGUAAUUUCUUAGCUUAGUAACAAAGUCUAAGGCUUAAAGAUUUAUAUCCUUUGUGAUUUCAAAUUAUCUCUGCUCUUGCUCUUAUUUUUUAAAAUACAUUUAAGAAGGCUUUUAUGGUCUGGUAAUGAUUUCAGAAGAAUAAAUACAUACUUUUAAAUUUGUUAUUUGUUCUACAUUCUUUCACAAAAUUUCUAGACAAGGAGAUGUAGUGAUCCUAUGAAACCUUUAAUAGUUAAUUCUAUAUUAAAAGUAAACAUAAUCAUAGUUGGUCAAUAAAAAUGCCAAAACUAGGAGCAGGAUCAUCAAAAAAGCAGCAGUGUCAGACAGAUUUGCUGUCUACAACCAAGACCUGUGGACAAAACAUCAUGAAAUGGACUAUUCUGAUCAGCAUAGCAGUGGAUGUUAUGAACAGAUUUUGUUAUAUGCAGACAUAAAUCCUGAUUUUCAGAGAAGUGAUGAAGGUGCUACCAGCUUGAAGAAAGGAUGGAAUACUGCUUUUUCAUUCAGGCUGUUUAAUCAUUCAUGACCCUAAAUACUUACACCUUGAUUAAAGUACAGUUUAGAAACAUUACAUUUACUUUCAUCAUAAACACCAAUCUCAAAAAACCAUGGAGGAGAUAAUAGACAAACCCUGCUUCUACAAUGCAAAGGGUGAAAAAGAAUGAAGCACAGCAUGAUAAAUAUACCUAAUUAUUUAUUAUUAUGAUUGAACUGAACUAUCAAGGAAAAAAGAAAAGAACUUAUAUAUACCAAUGAGUAUAUUUAAUUCAAUAAAAUGCUAAAUUUACAUCCCAGAAUGUUUCAGGUACACAUACUUCAAUUUUAGGAAGAGUGUUCUUUGCCUGAAUGGUUGAACUUUAUGCAAAUGGCUUCACUUAUGCAAGUAACACCACUUAUGGAAAUGGAACACAUAUCUGAGCUUGUGACUUGAAAUAACUCUCAGAAACCUGAACACCAGCAUGCACCUUUGACUGUUCUUCCCAGAACAUAACUUACUAAAGUUUUGGGCAUGCUGUUAGGAGGACUAUGGUAUUAUGAUUUAUCUCACAAAUUUGUAUUUGGAGAAUGCUCACACUCCAUAUCCCCUUAUGCUUGCAGAUGGACACUGAGCAGACAGGACAUCAAGCCAAGAUACAAUGAACAAAAGUAAACUUCAGUGGAGUAUUUUUAUGCUCAGUGGCUGACAGUGUGAGGCUCUUGGUCCAUUUCCUCUCAGGUCUGUAGAUCUCUGAGCUGACCAGCCUGUCCUGCUGCCCUGAACAGCAAAGGCUCAGCCACUAGAACAGCUUCUCAUGUAUUGUGCAAAGCAAGAAAGGCACUGGUGGAGCAGGUCAACCUUUGCUCUUACAGUAAAUCCAUUUUAUUCUGGAAGCUUAUCUUGGCAUUAAAAGCAACUCUAAAGCAACUUUGGGAUGAAUAAGGCAUAGUAUUAUUUGGAAAACAAUUAAUCCAAAUAAAGAAGAAUCUUAGUCCUAUUUUGUUGCACUCAACCUACAGCAAGUGGGAGGAACCUUGGGCACUGAGCUCUCUAGGCAGCAAGGAUCAGUUUGAGAACUUGUAAUAUCUGGUAUCGAGGAAAGUCAGGUCUCCCCUUUCAGCCAAGGAGACAUGAUACACAGACAUCCCAGAAACCUGAGAAACUUUUUAAAACUUGUUUCUAUGCCCUG